rnacentral:tRNA from 1 species
CCUCCUUUAAAGAGACGGAAAGCUGGCGUGAAAGCGCCCGCACAAUCUGCCUAAUCGCCAUAAACAUAGACCGCGGGUCUGUAGCUCAGUUGGUUAGAGCGCACCCCUGAUAAGGGUGAGGCCGGAAGUUCAACUCUUCCCAGACCCACCAGGUUGCCUCCAAACCAGAGGCUUACCAAUCGGGGCCAUAGCUCAGCUGGGAGAGCACCUGCUUUGCAAGCAGGGGGUCGGCGGUUCGAUCCCGCCUGGCUCCACCAGGUGAUAAACGAUAGUGAUUUAGGCCACUAUCGUUUAUUUCUUGACGAAGUCGGGUCAGCGGACGCUCUUUAACAAUUUAGUAGUAGUGAUAUACGACGGUGAAGUCGAGCCUGUUUCAGGCGAGGCUUUACUGGGUAUACCAGCAUUUAUCAGGUAGAUGUAUUUCGAUAUUUCCCCAAAAAGGAAUCAGUCCUUUUUGGGGGUUAAUAUUGAAUCAAGCCGAUA